UACGGGGGGGGCAAGCGUUGUUCGGAAUUACUGGGCGUAAAGGGCUCGUAGGCGGCCAACUAAGUCAGACGUGAAAUCCCUCGGCUUAACCGGGGAACUGCGUCUGAUACUGGAUGGCUAGAGUGUGGGAGAGGGAUGCGGAAUUCCAGGUGUAGCGGUGAAAUGCGUAGAUAUCUGGAGGAACACCGGUGGCGAAGGCGGCAUCCUGGACCACGACUGACGCUGAGGUGCGAAAGCGUGGGGAGCAAACAGG
rnacentral:rRNA from 1 species